UCUCGCCUGUUUUUCAAAAACAUGGCCUUUUGGUUUAUAUUAAUAAAAGGUUGGGCCUGCCCAGUGACUCGAAAUAGUUUAACGGCUGCGAUUGAAACCGUACUAAGGUAGCAUAAUAAUUUGCCCUUUAAUUGGGGGAGAGAAUGAAUGGUUUUACGGUAGAGAGUCUGUUUUAAUAAUAAGAAAAGAAGUUAACUUUUAAGUGAAAAGGCUUAAGUGUUUUUAAAAGACGAGAAGACCCCGUCGAGCUUAAUUAUUCUUUGGUUUUUUAGAUUAAAGAUGAAAUUUUAUUGGGGCAAUAGAAAACGAAUUGAUCGUUUUUUGUUUUUAUUUGGAUCCAGUUUGAUUGAAAAAAGCAAAAGCUACCGCGGGGAUAACAGGGUAAUUUUUUCUGAGAGUUCGAAUUAAAGAGAAAGAUUGCUACCUCGAUGUUGGAAUAGAGUUUCUUUAUGCUUGCAGCAGGUAUAUAAG
rnacentral:rRNA from 1 species